rnacentral:rRNA from 1 species
GGGAGGACUACACAUGCAAGUCGAGCGAGAACUUCGGUUCUAGCGGCGGACGGGUUAGUAACGCGUGGGAACGUGCCCUUCACUACGGAAUAGUCCCGGGAAACUGGGUUUAAUACCGUAUACGCCCUUCGGGGGAAAGAAUUUCGGUGAAGGAUCGGCCCGCGUUAGAUUAGAUAGUUGGUGGGGUAACGGCCUACCAAGUCUACGAUCUAUAGCUGGUUUUAGAGGAUGAUCAGCAACACUGGGACUGAGACACGGCCCAGACUCCUACGGGAGGCAGCAGUGGGGAAUCUUAGACAAUGGGCGCAAGCCUGAUCUAGCCAUGCCGCGUGAGUGAUGAAGGCCUUAGGGUCGUAAAGCUCUUUCGCCAGGGAUGAUAAUGACAGUACCUGGUAAAGAAACCCCGGCUAACUCCGUGCCAGCAGCCGCGGUAAUACGGAGGGGGUUAGCGUUGUUCGGAAUUACUGGGCGUAAAGCGCGCGUAGGCGGAUUGGAAAGUUGGGGGUGAAAUCCCAGGGCUCAACCCUGGAACUGCCUCCAAAACUAUCAGUCUAGAGUUCGAGAGAGGUGAGUGGAACUCCGAGUGUAGAGGUGAAAUUCGUAGAUAUUCGGAAGAACACCAGUGGCGAAGGCGGCUCACUGGCUCGAUACUGACGCUGAGGUGCGAAAGUGUGGGGAGCAAACAGGAUUAGAUACCCUGGUAGUCCACA